rnacentral:rRNA from 1 species
AUACGGAAGGUCCGGGCGUUAUCCGGAUUUAUUGGGUUUAAAGGGAGCGCAGGCGGAGAUGCAAGCGUGACGUCAAACUUCGGGGCUCAACCCCGUCUCGCGUCGCGAACUGCGUCCCUUGGUUGCGGGAAGGGGAGGCGGAACUCGUGGGGGAGCGGGGAAAUGCAUAGAUAUCACGAAGAACUCCGAUCGCGAAGGCAGCCUUCCGGCCCGUCAACGACGCUCAUGCUCGAAGGUGCGGGUAUCAAACAGGAUUAGAUACCCUGGUAGUCCGCACAGUAAACGAUGGACACCCGCGGUUUGGCCUGUAUGGCUGAGCCGCCAAGCGAAAGCGUUAAGUGUCCCACCUGGGGAGUACGCCGGCAACGGUGAAACUCAAAUGAAUUGGCGGGG